UCAAUACAAAAGGGUUCAGAAUUGGCACACGCAGUUGCUGAAUACAUGAAUUCGUAAGCAAGUGACAUAGCCUUAAACUUAUACAUAACAUAAUAAUAUGAUCAUAAAACUUAAACAUGAAGUCCUUGAACAUAAACAGCUCCAUCCAAAAGCUUGUUACCUUAUGCCACCUGCUUAUCUGAAAAAAAUAUAAGAGGAGUGGGAUGAGACUACUAAGCCUCAGUGAGUCCUACUACCCGACUAAUGGUGACUACACCGGGGGAAAUUUUCCAAAGUGUGUAUAUUUCUAAUCUGAAUAAAAUUCUUAUAAGUCUGACAUAAUAUAAGCAAUAAAGGUGUAACACACAUAAUAAUUAUCUUGUCAAUUUUUAUCAUAACAGGAUCACCCCGAGGUAAGUCGGUCCCGGAGUGCCUGGCCUGGUAUUGCCGAUAAUAAUAUACGUCGGAAUACAAUCUGGACUUACAAUUGUUAAUACUUAAAUUUAGAUUCUGAAUGAAUCCAGAAACAAUGGAAUCUAUUUGUGAUAAAAAUAUAAAACUUAUAUCAGGUUGCAUUGAUUCAAAGGAGCAUGCACAAGUGCAAGUAGCCCAAGUUGUUUAGAAAAUAAGUUAUGAGCUUAUGCACCGGUCCAUUCUGCUUAUGUAUCGAUGCAAGCUUCUGUCUAUCGUGCUUGAGCCUGUUCAGUCAGGAUAUGCAUCGGUGCAAAGCUCCGAGAUUUUAUUAAAAUAUGUCCUAAAGCUUAUGUACCGGUUCAAGAAUUGUAUGCAGCGGCUCAUAAGUUCUAAGACUCACAAUUCCAAUCCCAGGGAGGCAUUUGCACCGGUUCAUGCCCAGUUUGAACCGAUUCAACCAUGAAAAACCUGCAUAAUUUCAGAACAGUCCAAUUCCAAAACAGUUCAUAAUUUCAAAACAGUCCAAUUUCCAAAACAGUUCAUAAUUUCGUAUUUACAUUAGAUUCCACAAAUUCUCAUAAUUCCAACAUAUAUAGGGACUUAAUCCAAUAUUUAAUUAAUCCAAUUACAGUCAAUUCUAUUUAUCCUAAAUUAACCUAGUAUUAUCAUGCAAUAUGUGAAUUUGGGGAAACUAGGUUUCUAACUAAUCUUAAGGCAAGGAACCUAAAGAACCCACCUGAUUUGAAGCUUUAAUCUUGCUUUUGGAACUAUGAUUCUGCUACUAUUUCGAAAAUGCUCCUUCAGUUCCUCCUUGAACUUUGACUCCCAAAAUCAGUUCCUAAACCACCCAUUUUCACACAAUGAGUUUUGAAUCCAUACUUGAAUUUGAAGAGCAGAACUGUACUCCAUUGGAGGUUGGUUAGAGAGUACGAAUUUGAGAGGAUUUUUAAGGAACAAGACUUACUAUUGUGCUUACCUUAGAGCUUAAGAUGAGGAAGUGUUAAUCCUUGAAUUGUAUACAUGUUUGUGUGAAUGAUAGGAAAGAAUGAAAUUUCUUUAAAUAGGAGUUGUGUGA
rnacentral:lncRNA from 1 species